UACGAAGGGGGCUAGCGUUGUUCGGAUUUACUGGGCGUAAAGCGCACGUAGGCGGCUCGUUAAGUCGGGGGUGAAAUCCUGGAGCUCAACUCCAGAACUGCCUUCGAUACUGGCGAUCUCGAGUCCGGAAGAGGUGAGUGGAACUCCUAGUGUAGAGGUGGAAUUCGUAGAUAUUAGGAAGAACACCAGUGGCGAAGGCGGCUCACUGGUCCGGUACUGACGCUGAGGUGCGAAAGCGUGGGGAGCAAACAGG
rnacentral:rRNA from 1 species